rnacentral:rRNA from 1 species
CAGUCGCCGCGGUAAUACGGAGGGAGUUAGCGUUGUUCGGAAUUACUGGGCGUAAAGCGCACGUAGGCGGCUUUGUAAGUCAGAGGUGAAAGCCUGGAGCUCAACUCCAGAACUGCCUUUGAGACUGCAUCGCUUGAAUCCAGGAGAGGUGAGUGGAAUUCCGAGUGUAGAGGUGAAAUUCGUAGAUAUUCGGAAGAACACCAGUGGCGAAGGCGGCUCACUGGACUGGUAUUGACGCUGAGGUGCGAAAGCGUGGGGAGCAAACAGGAUUAGAUACCCGCGUAGUCCCUGUCUCUUAUAC